rnacentral:rRNA from 1 species
UACGUAGGGGGCAAGCGUUGUCCGGAAUCAUUGGGCGUAAAGAGCGUGUAGGCGGCUUGGUAAGUCCGCUGUGAAAGUCCAGGGCUCAACUCUGGAAUGCCGGUGGAAACUGUCAAGCUUGAGUCCGGAAGAGGCGAGUGGAAUUCCUGGUGUAGCGGUGAAAUGCGCAGAUAUCAGGAGGAACACCAAUGGCGAAGGCAGCUCGCUGGGACGGUACUGACGCUGAGACGCGAAAGCGUGGGGAGCAAACAGG